GGAAGUUAAGAAGCUGUUUCUUAACUUUUAACUAAAAAAAGCUAAGAAUCGGUUCUUAAAUAAAGACUUUAAGAACCGGUUCUUAACUUUUUUAGUUAAAAAUUAAGAAACAGUUCUUAACUUCC
rnacentral:pre_miRNA from 1 species